rnacentral:tRNA from 1 species
GCUUUCAUAGCUCAGUUGGUUAGAGCACCCGUUUAGUAAGCGGGAGGUCAUGAGUUCAACUCUCAUUUAAAGCA